CCUUUACAGUCUGCGAUGAUUGACGAGGUCAAACAGGACUCACUUGCAUUGCCGGGUCUCUGUGGCGACAGGGAGGACUUGGACUCUGUUAAGAAAUGCUGGCUUAGAUUUAAUCAUCAUUUGUCUCCUAGCAUGGGCAUAUUGCUACCCCUGAAAAAAAUAUCAGGGUGUAUGGGCAAAUAAAGUGGAGUGGAAUAACUGCUGGGUGGGCAGUUUGACAAGGGAGACAAAAAAAAAAAAAAAAGGAUGUAGAAGAGUAGAAUAGCAUAAUUAACAAGCUUAACUAUAAAUGUAUAUAAAUCUAUACAUACAGACACAUUUCUCUUAUGCCAACAAAGACCAUACCCUCUUCUCAAACACAAACAGAAUAUCCACAAAAAUUGUUGCUAAGGUAGAACACAGAGAACAUCUUAAGAAAUUCCAAAAUCAAAAAAUCAGAUAAGCCACCUUUUCUGAACAGACUGCAGAAAAGAUCAAAGAAACUCUAGUAACGUGGAAAUUCAUGCUCCGAGUAGUGACAAGCCAGUGACUUUUUCUAUAGAAAGGGUACAAGACUCCAAUUUGAAAAUCUCAAGCAGCUUUAUAUUCAAGCAAGUUCAAUCCAAUCUCUUCCUGACUCACUGUCUCAUCAACAUGCAAAGCUCUCGAAGAGAAAUCAUCUCUUACUUGCCUGAGGGAGUUCUGGCAGACGUUUUGAAUGUGGAUGUGGAAGUUCUUUCCUCGUCUCCAUCCUGUCAAGAGCCGUGGAGCAAACAGCAGGAUGAGGAAGACAUGGAAGACAAAACUGAUAACGCACGUCACCUCGCUGCAGCGGGAGACAGAAUGUAACUUCAAUUCAGCCUCUUUGGGGUUUGGGUUCUGACCAAGUAAAUCGGGAAUGUUGUUAACAUAUCA
rnacentral:lncRNA from 10 species